GUUUAAUUAGUAUACUUAAGUACAUUUAAUUUCCAAUUAAAAAGCUUUUAAUAAAAAAAUUAAACA
rnacentral:tRNA from 1 species